ACCCGCUGAACUUAAGCAUAUCAAUAAGCGGAGGAAAAGAAACCAACAGGGAUUGCCCUAGUAACGGCGAGUGAAGCGGCAACAGCUCAAAUUUGAAAUCUGGCGUCUUUGGCGUCCGAGUUGUAAUUUGCAGAGGGCGCUUUGGCAUCGGCAGCGGUCCAAGUUCCUUGGAACAGGACGUCACAGAGGGUGAGAAUCCCGUACGUGAUCGCUAGCCUUUACCGUGUAAAGCCCCUUCGACGAGUCGAGUUGUUUGGGAAUGCAGCUCUAAAUGGGAGGUAAAUUUCUUCUAAAGCUAAAUACUGGCCAGAGACCGAUAGCGCACAAGUAGAGUGAUCGAAAGAUGAAAAGCACUUUGGAAAGAGAGUUAAAAAGCACGUGAAAUUGUUGAAAGGGAAGCGCUUGCAGCCAGACUUGCCUGUAGUUGCUCAUCCGGGUUUUUACCCGGUGCACUCUUCUAUAGGCAGGCCAGCAUCAGUUUGGGCGGUUGGAUAAAGGUCUCUGUCAUGUACCUCUCUUCGGGGAGAACUUAUAGGGGAGACGACAUGCAACCAGCCUGGACUGAGGUCCGCGCAUCUGCUAGGAUGCUGGCGUAAUGGCUGU
rnacentral:rRNA from 1 species